CGUUCUGGACAGAGCACAGAAUUGCUUCUUAAGUCAGUCCGGCGCGGUUGCAAUAGACAGCAAAAAGGUAAACGUUUGCCUGAAACCCGCACGCCAGCUCCACCACCCCGCUCGAUGGUCCCCCAGUGGAUACAAAAGGACAGGAGAGGGAUUUCAUCCUGUAGACCGAAUAUGUUUGACAAACGUUUUUCUCUCCUUUACUUGGAAGGCAAAGAAGAAAGUGGGUUUGCCGCUCUAAACCCUGUGACCUAAUAGUCGUCUAGUGCUCUGGUAAGAUCAAAAUACGAGAGAACUACAAGU